UACGAAGGGGGCUAGCGUUGCUCGGAAUGACUGGGCGUAAAGCGCGUGUAGGCGGUUAGAUUAGUCUGCUGUGAAAGCUCGCGGCUCAACUGCGAGAGGUCGGUGGAAACUGUCUGACUAGAGGACGGUAGAGGGGGGUGGAAUUCCCGGUGUAGUGGUGAAAUGCGUAGAGAUCGGGAGGAACACCAGCGGCGAAGGCGGCCCCCUGGGCCGCUCCUGACGCUGAGACGCGAAGGCCAGGGUAGCGAACGGG
rnacentral:rRNA from 1 species